ensembl:misc_RNA Metazoa_SRP Metazoan signal recognition particle RNA
GCCAGGCGCGGUGGCACAUGCCUGUAGUCCCAGCUACUCGGGAGGCUAAGGCUGCAGGAUAACUUGAGCCCAGGAGUUCUGGGCUGUGGUGUGCUAUGCCAGUUGGGUGUCUGCACUAAGUUUGGCAUCAAUAUGGUGACCUCCAGGGAGUGGGGACCACCAGGUUGUCUAAGGAGGGAUGAACCUGCCCAGGUUGGAAACAGAGCAGGUCAAAACUCCUGUGCUGAUCAGUAAUGGGAUCGCACCAGUGAAUAGUCACUGCACUCCAGCCUGGGCAACAUAGCAAGACUCCAUCUCUA